rnacentral:rRNA from 1 species
UGGGGAAUUUUGGACAAUGGGGGAAACCCUGAUCCAGCCAUCCCGCGUGUGCGAUGAAGGCCUUCGGGUUGUAAAGCACUUUUGGCAGGAAAGAAACGUCCUGGGUUAAUACCCCGUGAAACUGACGGUACCUGCAGAAUAAGCACCGGCUAAAUACGUGCCAGCAGCCGCGGUAAUACGUAGGGUGCAAGCGUUAAUCGGAAUUACUGGGCGUAAAGCGUGCGCAGGCGGUUCGGAAAGAAAGAUGUGAAAUACCAGAGCUCAACUUUGGAACUGCAUUUUUAACUACCGGGCUAGAGUGUGUCAGAGGGAGGUGGAAUUCCGCGUGUAGCAGUGAAAUGCGUAGAUAUGCGGAGGAACACCGAUGGCGAAGGCAGCCUCCUGGGAUAACACUGACGCUCAUGCACGAAAGCGUGGGGAGCAAACAGG